CCAGGCUAGGGGUCGAAUUGGAGCUGUAGCCACCGGCCUACGCCAGAGCCACAGCAACACGGGAUCCGAGCCGCGUCUGCAACCUACACCACAGCUCACGGCAACGCCAGAUCGUCAACCCACUGAGCAAGGGCAGGGACCGAACCGCAACCUCAUGGUUCCUAGUCGGAUUCGUCAACCACUGCGCCACGACGGGAACUCCGUAAAAUGAUUUUUAAAGAUAGUGAUUUAAAGUGAGAAAAAUGACUUAAAAUGAGAAAAGUGAUAGAUGGUAAAAUGACUUACAUGAUUAUAAAAAUGAUUAAACAUGACAGGAAAAUGAUUUUUAAAUGAUUUAAAAUGACAGUAAAAUGAUUUAAAUGAUUUAAAAUGAGAAAAUUAAAAAUUAUAAAAAUGAGACUGAUGACAAAAAUAAAAUCAAAAUGAUGCGAAAAUGUUUUAAACUGUUUAUAAACUGAUAUAAAAUGAUGAAAGUGAGAAAAAUGAUUAAAAAUGUGAAAUGAUUCAAACUGAUAUGAUUUUUAAAUGAUAAACAGUGAUUUAAAAUGACAAAAGUGAGAAGUGAUAAAAACGGAAAAGAUGUUAAAAUGACUUAAAUGAUAAACAAUGAUUUAAAAUGAGGAAAAUGACAGUAAAAUGACUUAAAUGAUUAUUUAAAGUGAUAAAAAUGAUUAAAAAUAAAAAUGAUGGUAAAAUGAUUUUUAAAUGACUUAAAAUGAGAAAAGUGAUUAAAAAUGAUAAAAAUGAUUAAAAAUAAAAAUGAUGGUAAAAUGAUUUUUAAAUGACUUAAAAUGAGAAAAGUGAUUAAAAAUGAUAAAAAUGACAGCUGUUAAAAUAUUUAAAUGAUAAUGUCAGUGAUAAAAAUGGUUAAAAAUGACAAAAGAUGCUAAAAUGUUUUAAAAUGAUAAACAAUGAUUUAAAAUACCAAAAGUGAGAAAAAUGAUUAAAAAUGAUUUAAAAUGCCUAAAACUGACGGACAAUAACGUGAUUUUUAAGUGAUAACCAGUGAUUUCAAAGGACAAAAAGGAUGAAAAGUGAUAAAAACGACAGAAAAAUGGUGGGUAGGAUGGGUUUUUAAAGGAUUAAGUCACAUGUUACAUCCUCACUUCAGGUUGGUGUUGACAGGUGGCAUUUACAUAAGAAUGAAGCAACUGCAGAGAAAACCCCACAGGAAGCGCACCCCUCCCCCAAAUCCAGGCUAACAGGCUAAUUCCAGUGGUGUCUACACACCUUAAGAACUGAGAAGGGCCAGGACCAGGCUAAUUCCCUCCCAGGGGACCGUGAACCCCUUCCUUAAAAAAGCUGACUUUUCUCAGGUGCUGAGUGGGCAGAGGGGCGUGUGUCCCCUUCGUGUGCUCCUCUGGGGUCACCACCUCCAGAGGGUUUUCUCCUCCCAGCUCUGGGGACAGUCUAGACGGGGCUUCUGGGGAAGCUGACCCUGAGGUGUGAAUGCCGGGUACCAGGGUCAUCAGGAAAGAGGAGGGGGGAGCAGGGUCUGACUCAGGCCAGCAGCACCUCCUUUGCUCAGACCCAGGGGCGCCUCCCUCCCCAGAGGCAGGUGGGGUUUAGGCCAAGACACCCAAGACCAGGGCUUAUUAGGGGCACAGCACAGUCACCCGGACCUCCCAGAAAUGCAGAGCUCUGGAACCUUGGGGGUGGGGGCUCUGCCUCUUGCAGGUGGGUCCGCCUUGCUGGUCAAGGUCCUGAUGACUUUUUUAAUGUGCACAAUUUAGAAGAUGAGGGUUCAGUUUGGGGGCAAAAUGAGGACUGGAGCCCUGGAGGCAGCAUCUCAGGAGCUCUGAGAAGCCCCUGCUAAGAGGCAGGGGGAGGGCAGUGUGUCUGUGAUCUCAGGGAAGGGGGAGGGCCCUACCACCCAGCACACAUUGCUGGGAAGGUCCCUGCUGGUCCCGGGGAGCAGACGUCACCAUGAAGGAUGAGAGUGCCAUCCUAACACCAACAGAGGAGAGGCAAGACGUGGGCUUGUCGACUGAAAAAAAAUCCACAACCUGAGAGUUAAGUUUCCUUUGGGGUGAAAUUAGGACUGAAGCCCUGGAGACAGCAUCUCAGGCACCCUGAAAAACUGCUUGCAGGCAGUGAGGGGGAGCUGGGUAAUAGAGGAGGGUUUGCAACAAGGGGCAGGGAGCAGGACAAAAAGAGGCCUGGGCUCCCCGAAAUCCUUCCUUUGACAGGCAUCUCCUAGUGAGAUUUGUCCCCCCAGGGCAAAAUUUUGAAAGGAUUUUUUUAAAAUGUAUUUCAAUACCUGCAUAGCUAAUAAAAGAGUUCAUUGUAGCUAUUUUCAGGGCAAUUUUUUUCUUUAUUACCCAAUAAACUAUGUACUUGUAAACCUGCCUGAGGUGUUUGUUGGAGGCUGGUUUUCUGACACCUGCCCCUCGUUGUUUUGUUUGAAUUUGAAUCUGUCAGGGAUAAAAUCUACUGGGGCCCUUGUGUGGUGGGCCAGGGCUGCUUGAGAGCCUAACUCCUCUAGGUUUGCCCAGGGUUGUUUUAGACCCCUCUUACGUGUCUCGGGUCUCCCAGGGGCACCUAGGACACCCCCACGGGUGCUCAGAUGGGCCAUACGGCCAUUUCUUAUUGAGUCCUCCUCUGAGCAGGUUUGAAUGAAGGAGUGGCUUUCCCUGUGGGGCCACUGCAGGGCCUGAGGACACUUCCACCACCCCGUUAAAUUUCUCAAGCACCUGAGAAAACCAGAGCCAGCCCAGGGAGUCUUGUCCCUUUUCUUGGGAGCAAAGGCUCUCAUGUAAGCCUUCACCUUUAUCCUGACAACGUCCAUGAAGGCAGCUGAGCUGAGAAAAACCAUCAGGUCAGCCUCUUACCUGAACACUCAGUCCAGACCCCUGUUUCUUUCAACUGAGCCAAAAGCAACAGCUUGUAAUUGAGCCCCAGUGUCUCCACUGGUGGGGUAUAUAUUUCCCAGUAUUUUUGAACUGAACCCACCCUCAGCUUCCUUCCUUUGACAGGCACCUCCACUCUCAGGGCAGGAUCCUGAGUGUGCACAGCCUGCAGGACUCACCUGCUCUCACCCCUGGAGGUGACUGAUUCCCAGAUGAUCCUGACAUUCUUCAUCCUUAGCUACAGACCUGGGGAAAUACCACCCAAGGAGGAAAAGGGGGAACAGCAGGAUGUGAUCAAGUGGAGAGGGAGGGCCUGAAGCCAGGCACACACAUUCCAGAGAAGUUUGUGGCUGGUCUCCUGAAGGUCACGACCAGUCCCAAGGAGCAGACAUCACCAUGAAGGAGUUUAGUGUUUUUCGAGAUAGGAAGAGAUGCAAGAAUGGGGCACAUAAAGUCUUCUCCUAGUAAUAUCUGACUCUCUGAAGCCUCUUCUUCCAGUUUUCCCAGAGCUCAGAGUCCUCACUCUUGGUCUCCACCCUGAGCCCCUUUCAGGAGUGUUGGGGGAUGGGCAGCUGCAGUGGCUCAGGGCUCAGUCCCUUUAGAGGCAGGUGGCAUGUGCCCCUCUGGGGUUCUCAGUUCCCCUUUGAAACUACAAUGAGAAGAGGGAGCAGAGGCACCCCGCUGGGCCCCGACAUUCCUGAGGGUUUAUCUCAAGGCCAGUCCCCAUGGAUUUGUCCCCUCAAUUCAUAUGCUGAAGCCCUAACCCCCUGAGGAGCUGUUUUGGUGGCAGAGAAGCAAUUAGUGUGCAAUGAGGUUAUAAGCAGGAAGCUCUGAUCCGAUGCAAUUAGGAAGAGGAAACACCACCUCUCUCUCCCCUGACCCCGCCCUGGACACAGGGAGAAGGGGGCAGCUGCAUGCCAACAAGAGAGCCUCACCAGGAACGCAAUAUCCCCCCGCUGUGAACAUGGACUCCCAGCCUCCAGGAGAGUGGGGUAGAAAUUUCCACAGUUGGAGCCGCCCAGGCCUGGGGGUUCUGUUUCAGCCACCUCCGCUCACCAACACCCAUGUCUGCGUGUCCUCAUAUCAUAAAGCUGGAGUCCCCUGGCAGCCUAGAGGUUACAGAUCUGGCAUUGUCACUGCAGCGGCUCAGGUCACUGUUGGGAUGAGGCUUCCAUGCCUGGCGAGGGAACUUCCACAUGCCUCAGG
rnacentral:lncRNA from 1 species